rfam:Sphingobium sp. TKS chromosome 1, complete sequence.
GGGGCACCGGAUGGACGCUGGCCGGCGAGGAUUCGCCCGCCGGCGAUUUUGUC